UCAGUGCCACAAAUUAUAUUAAAUUAACUCAUUAUUUUCAGAGAAGCAUAUGUACUGUACAUACAAAUCUUCAUAGGUAUCAAAGCCAGAACCUAGAAAACAUUAUGUUACGCAUAAGAAAAACAAAGAACAUAAAUACUAGAUUGGCCUAGAAACAAGAUUCAGAAACAAAGAUUACAAAUUCGAUGGAUUAAAUAUAAAGAGAGGAGUAGGAUAGAGAAAAUGUGGACAAAUCAUUAGGAACUAGGAAUAGUACCACACCUAGUCCUGAAAAAUAGUGACUCGCCUAACCGAGGCAUGGAGCUACUCGUGGUCGCUCAUCAACGGAGGUACCUAGUUGAAUAAAGCACAUGGCAACAACUUGUACAAUUAAAAAAUAUCAGGUCAUAAAACACAUAAAUGGUAAAUUGCGAACAAUGGCAUGUUGAAGUAUCUAUUUGAGUCUAUAAAAUUAGUUUCGUAUAUAAAUCACUCUAUAGAGGUUAAUUUUAGCACACAUCAUUCAAGUAAAAUUAAAUUUCAGUCAGUUAGAACAAUCUUCAUCUUAUCUCGUUAGACUGCAGAACAGAUGCCAUGUUGAUCUAUUGCUUAAAUCCAAAUAUAAUGUUUAACUGUACCAUUUUUCUCUUGCUGGAAUUACAGUUAUGCAAUUGUUCUUAACUAGCAGUCCCUUGUUCCUUUAUCUCACAAACUAUAUAAGAGUAGAUGCUUUACAUAAGUAUAGCUUGUUAAAAAUGAAGCUAAAGGUCUACACAACCAUCCUUUACUUGAGACGCGUCAGAUGCAUGCGAUGUCUCCCUAACUAAAUAUAAGUGUUCCAGGAAUUGAACUUCAUCAGAAACAAUUCAGUCUAUCAAGAAUGCACGAUAUCAAUAUCGAAUAGAUUCUAACAGUAUAAUAAUAUACCUUGUGGAAAUCCACACGUUGUUCAGAUCCCGCUGGUUAGUAGGUUUGGCCCCCCUUCUUUUGUCCAGGCACUGCUUUAAGUUAAGUGUUCACCAACAAUAUUAUACAGUUGAUGUCCUACAGUUGUCCAUAAAUAUAUGCAAGUAGGAUAUAGUACCAAGAAGCAAAAAUCAGUAUUUGUUAUAGUACUACGUGCAUAUUUAAAAGUCUGAUGCUACACACAGGGCUGAAGAUUCGCAAGCAUUGCCAAGAUUAUUGUUGCCUUACCAAAUUUGUUACACACAGGGCUGAAGAUGCAACACCAAGCUAUGGACAACAAUGGUAACAACGGCAUGUGACAGCGGCUAGGUUUGCAUUUUAAAAUCUUAACCUUUACAUUAUGUUGCUACCUAUGAAAAUCUACUCUAUAGGUGGAAGAACAUAUAUCAUAUAAAGUG
rnacentral:lncRNA from 1 species